AUGGAUUGGAACCCGCAAGUGCUUUGCUAGAAUGUGAGGGGGCUCAACAGCCCAGCCAAGAAAAAUGCGGUGAGAGAGUUUGUCAUGGCAGCCAAAGUUAACCUUCUGUGUCUUCAAGAGACGAAACUUGAUGUAAUUGAUGUGUUCACUGUAAUGCAAUGCAUCGGACCAUCCUUUGAUGGGUAUGCUUAUUUUCUGGCUUCGAACACGAGGGGUAGUAUUCUUUUUGGGUGGGACAACUCCUACAUGGAGAUUAGCAACAUUGCAUGCGACACCUACUUCCUUACGGGGCUUGUGUGCAACAAAGAUGGCUUGAAAUGGUGGCUGUCGGCGGUCUAUGGACCCCAAGGGGAUGAGCAGAAGACGCAAUUCUUGGUUGACCUGCACAAUAGAAGGGCUCUAUGUCCAGGUGAAUGGAUGGUCAUUGGAGACUUUAACAUGAUUUUGAGAGUGGACGAGAAAAGCAACUCUAAUCUCAAUAGGCGCAUGAUGCAGAGGUUCAAGGAGUUCGUGGACAAUAAUGAGCUUAAAGAGCUCUAUAUGCAGGGUAGGCGCUUCACGUGGACAAAAGAGAGGGAACAUUUGGUGAUGACCAAGAUCGAUCACGUGUUGGUGUCCAUUGACUGGGAGCUUGAAAGCACAAGUGCUUCCUGGGUGAUUUUGUUAAUUAAUGUCAACAUAUCUCUUGUUGGACUAAUAUUUUUCAUCUAG
rnacentral:rRNA from 1 species